GGAAUGAGGCAGCAGCUAGAGUCCUUUUUUUUAUUCAAAAAAUUUGGUGGCUGCUAGAUUUUUAAUUUGAUAUAUAUACGCGUACAAACAAACAAAAAAAGGGAGAGGCUGCCAUAUAUUUUCAGAGAGGCACAGAAAACGGAGGGAGAAUUGAGCAGCAGCCAAUAUCUUAUAAUUUCCACACACUUUGAGGCUGUAAUAUUAUAUUCACACAUGUUGGGAAUUCAGGAGGAAUAAUUUCUGCUGCCGUUAAUCGGGAGAGAAAGAGAACACGUGUCGGCUGCCAUUAAUAUAUCUAUAUUCCACGCAAUAGAGGGCAGAAAUUGGGCUUCAAAUAUUGCGACCAGGUUGCUGAAAUUUAUCAUUUAGAAUACACAUGGAUACCGGAGCAAAGACACCAACAUAGAAAUUGAAGCAGCUUGAGGGAAAAAAUAGGAGAUACACGCAGAAGCAAAUAGUGGACAAUUGGAGCAAAAUUGGAAAUUGAUCAUGUUCUGUCAAUUUCCGGUGAUGUAUUUCAUAAUUUCUUGUUGUUCUCCCAUUAAUAUGCAUAGCUAAAUUUAAUUUUAAGGUGAACAAUGUAACCUGUUUGGACCUUUAUUUCUUUUAUUUCAGAUUCUUGUUCUUUUAUAUUUUAUGUGUGAAUUUUAAUUAUAUUUUUAAUAUUUUGAAUUUUC
rnacentral:lncRNA from 1 species